rfam:Takifugu rubripes chromosome, Chr_9
CAGAAGCUGAUUUCAUCUGGUGACGUAGAUGUUUGUACCUUGUCUCUAGCACCAUGUGAAAUCAGUGUUUU